AGCUGACUCAAGUUUAGACUAUGCAUAUUUAUUUGCUCUCCUUGCUCUGCCAAUAAUUUUGAGCUGCAUUUAUUUCAUUGUGAAUUUCUUCAAAACCACAGCAGAAUCAGAUGCUGCUACAUCCAGAGGUAAAAGGAAGAAAGAAAUGGAGGAGCAGGUUGAAGUGCAGUAUUCCAUUUUCUUGAACAAGGACCUAAAGAAAUUCCCUUCAUUCAAAAACAGAAACAUCACCAAGUGUUUAUACAAACAGGUGAAGCUAAAAGUUGGGGAUUUCAUAAAAUUUGAAGAUAGUCUGGUUCAUGCUGUGGUGGAUACAUGUCUGACUUCGGAUGAUACCACAGGGGAUGGCCGAUGUUUUACCGUGGAUUCAUCACCGGACUGUGGCUUAUGGUGAAGAGUUCUUAAUUACUGCUGCCUUUUCAUUAUUACAAGAAAUGUUGUGUUUGGAAUUUAAUGAAGUUGUUUAGUAAUGCAAAGCAAAAGAUACAGUUUACAUUUAAUAACUCCAAGAAUGACAGAAGAAUUGUUUAAAUGUUUAUAUGCAUGCUUCUGGAUGUAAUGUAAUAUCAAUAUUUAAAUCAAAAUAACAUUAAAUUGUUACCUAUUAUGAAACAUCCAUUAAACAAAAUAUAAUAA